rnacentral:rRNA from 1 species
CCUACGGGCGGCAGCAGUGAGGAAUAUUGGUCCAUGGACGAGAGUCUGAACCAGCCAAGUAGCGUGAAGGAUGACUGCCCUAUGGGUUGUAAACUUCUUUUAUAUGGGAAUAAAACGUUCCACGUGUGGGAUUUUGUAUGUACCAUAUGAAUAAGGAUCGGCUAACUCCGUGCCAGCAGCCGCGGUAAUACGGAGGAUCCGAGCGUUAUCCGGAUUUAUUGGGUUUAAAGGGAGCGUAGGUGGAUUGUUAAGUCAGUUGUGAAAGUUUGCGGCUCAACCGUAAAAUUGCAGUUGAAACUGGCAGUCUUGAGUACAGUAGAGGUGGGCGGAAUUCGUGGUGUAGCGGUGAAAUGCUUAGAUAUCACGAAGAACUCCGAUUGCGAAGGCAGUUCACUGGACUGCAACUGACACUGAGGCUCGAAAGUGUGGGUAUCAAACAGGAUGAGAUACCCGGGUAGUC